UGGUGGCUCCUGGGCAGAAAUCCAUGGCGCUCCUGGGCAGAAAGGAGAUAGGGAGGUUAGGGAGAAAGAAGGGACAGUGAUGAGCUCCACACAGAAAAGGUUAGGCACCUGCUAUAAGCCUAUCAUUUCCUGAAUCUUUCAAUUCUGAUGCUUAAAUUGUUUGUCCUGAUGUAUUUUCAGAAUCUCAUACUGCAAAGGAUUGAUGGUCAGAUCAAGUGUAUUAAUGAAAUGUGCAACAUGAUGUCUCUUGAUAUUAAGAAGACAUUAUAUGAAGUUCAUCCCAGCUUUGUUGAAUUGGAAAGAAUCAAAUCCAUGAGUAUAAGUGAUAGCACACUUGAUAGGCUUGCAGGAAAAAUUCAUGCACUAAAUCAAGAAAAGAAACAGAGGCUCCGGAAGGUACUGGUGUUUGCUGUUCAUGUUAGUCAUUUAACAAAAGUAUGGGUCUGUGUGAAUCUUUAGCGUAUUCACCUUAGUCUAUAUGUUUUACUGUUGACCUCCAGUAUGGGCCUGUCAUUGUGUUUGAGUAGUUGACCUGAUAAUAUGAUUCAGCUUAGCAAACCAUAUCAUGAUUUAUUUUUCCUGAACUGUCGAAUAUGUUGUCUUGCUUGUAACUCUUAUGAUUCAAUGUACCUGUACAUUUAAUAAAAGCAGGAGCAUGUAUCUAUCUUACUUCAAUGCUUUCACCUUGGCAUAUAUUGUUUUACUAUUUGACCUCCAGUAUGCCAGUCAUUGAAUUUGAGACUUGACAUUAUAAUGCGAUUCAGCUUAGCAAAGCAUGUCAUGAAUUUUUCUAAACCUUUUGUAGUUCGAUUUAUUUGGUUUAUGCCAUUCCAUUAUGAUUUACAUACACUAUACAUGACAUGGUUUGCCAUCCUAAUUCAGUUUCAUUGCUGACCAGUGUAUGGUUUACUGACUUGUGCAUUUUAGCAUGCUUUCCUUUCAACUUCUGCUAAAUAUUGUUCCAUAUUUCUUUGUAUCAAAGAUCCAUAUUGUUGAAAUUUGCAUUAUCUAUUGCAGCUACAAGAUCAUGGAAGCACACUCAUUGAGUUAUGGAGUCUAAUAGACACACCAUUAGACGAACAGAAAUGCUUUGAUCAUGUUACUUCUUUGAUUUCAGUCUCACAAAAUACAGCGAUGCCCCAAGGAUGCCUUGCACAUGACCUUAUUAAGAAGGUUAGAGUUGAUUCUUGAUAGUCUAUUUGUUUACUUAUUUUCUUUCUAUUUUUAUCAAGCUAAUUUCUUUAAAUUAUAGUAAUUGUCAUGUGAAAUUCCUUUCCCCCGUUGUUUGGGUAGAGGUUGAGGUCAAGAGACUGAAGCAUUUGAAAGCUCGCAAAAUGGAAGAGCUUGUCUUAAAGAAAAUGACUGAGCUUGAAGAAAUCUACAAAAGUGUUCACAUGUACAUUGACAGCAAUCAUGAGUGGCAGAUUCUCACUGAACUUAUUGAUUCUGGUUCACUUCUUUCCCAUGCUUUUCAUCCUGAAGAUACAUAACUAAAGUUAUUAUAUAUAGUUUUGUUUCCAUUAAGAACUACCCGAUGCAUGAGCUAACUGGUGCUCCUUAGUUAUAUAAGGUUGCUGUUUCUGUCUCAUCUUAAAAUUCUGUGAAUUUCUUAGUCAAAUUCAAUGGUAGGUUCUGCAACUGUCUUUCAACUUUGUGCCUUCUAAGUAUCAGCUUGAAUAUUUAGGCAGAUCAAUUUGGAUACAAAAAUUGAAUAAGCUCUUAUGAAAACUAAAAGGGAAAAAAUAUUGCAACUUUGCAAGUCAUUGCGUCUCUCCUUCAAAGGACGAUUGCACAUUCAUGCUCUAGGAUUUUUUUACUGAGCUCACGGUUGUGAACUAUAUAUUUCCAUUUCUUUGGUAGUGAUAUUUGGUUAAGCUGGAGGUCCUAGCUAUAGAACAUCAACAGUGUAAAGUAUAUGCAUUGCUAGAGGGGGGGGAUUUGGAUACAAAAAUUGAAUAAGCUCUUAUGAAAACUAAAAGAGAAAAAAUAUUGCAAGUCAUUGCGUCUCUCCUUCAGAGGACGAUUGUGCAUUCAUGCUCUAGGAUUUUUAUUACUGAGCUCAAGGUUGUGAACUAUUUAUUUCCAUUUCUUUGGUAGUGAUAUUUGGUUAAACUGGAGAUCCUAGCUAUAGAACAUCAACAGUGUAAAGUAUAUGCAUUGCUGCUCAGAGGUUCUGUAGAUACAUCUUUACUGAUUUUUCAUUUUUAUCAUGUAUGCUUCAAUUCUUGCAUGCCAAAUAAACAUAAGUUCAUGUUUUAUUGUUUAGUUGUCUCAUGUUCGCUCUUCAUUAUUCUAUAUCAAAGUGAUGUCGUUCAAUGCGUUUGUCCCUUUCUGAUGUAGAAAUUGAUUUCCAUGAGGCAUGAACUCAAGGUGCAACAAUAUCAUUCUUCCUGGUGUUGCAUUAAAUAUACCUCUUAUUUGUUAAAAAAAUCCUCUGGAUUUGGGAUUAGUAUAUUAGGUAGACAUCUUUUGGUUAACGGCAGAUUUGAGCGCAGGGUAGAAUUCUUGGUUGAUUCUAGAAUUUCUUUGUAGAUUAGCUAGCAGAUUAGAACGUCUUUGGCAAGUUCUUUGUUGGUUAGGUCCAGCUCCCUUGGCACUGGACCCAGCAGACGCGUGUGCGUGUGCGGAUCUCCCAUGCAUCCACUGCACCACUUGUUGUUGGGUGGCAGUGGGGUAUCCAAGCGUGUGGAAGGCCUAUCCGCCAUGGCGGCGCAGCUUGGCUCCAAGGAGAGCAGUUCCAAGGCCCAACUAACAGGCUACCACAAUUCCUAGCCCAAUCGCGGACUAUAAUUAAAUUGCUUUAUUGAUCAAUCUAUCAGUUAAUCAUAGGCUACAACUAACCAGUGUAGUUUGGAUGUGCAGCACCAGAGACCAUUUGAUUGAAUUGGUGGUACAGUAAUACUAGCCUAAUACAAUUAUCAGAUCCUUUUGUCCUGUCAAGCAGAUGGACUUUUGUCCUGUCAAGCAGAUGGUUAAUUACUGGACAAGUAGAGCAUUGCAUUUUCUGUGUGCAAUCCACACUGACAAGCCUGCAGAGGCUACUUCAAGUCAAGCGGCUUUAGAAUUUCUUUACUAUGUGUACUCAUGUAGUAUUUAGGUUAGAAUAGUAUCAGAUUUGAUUGGUCCCUCAGUUCAUAACAGACAUUGACUGGUUACUUCUUUCUGGCUUUAACUUUGAAGCCUAAAUAACCACCUUUUGCUACUUAAUUGCGCUUGUAGUCAUUUGUGAUUCUCAGUUCAUGAAUAAUAUAUGUUGACAAGACAUAAAUUCAGAACUUCUGGCACAUAUGUACUUUAAUAUACUUGCACGCUUUAAUUUUGUCAUUGAAAUUGUUUCUUUGUUCUUCCAGGUUUUGGGUAGCCAAUCAAGUCAUGUAAUACUUUAUUGUACCAUUCCUUUUGAUGUUAGAUGUACAACAGUUUUAUGCUCAAAUAAAGAUAUAUAUGCAUACAAAUUAGUUGCUGGUUAUUCCUCCAUGAUAUAGUUUUCCAGUUAAAUGUAGUCUUGCGCUUGUGUGAUUGAAAACUAAGAAUGGAAAGGUGAAGCUGCACAUCAAACUAGAGUACAUGCAUAUGUGCAUACACUCUGCCCCUCCUCUGUUUCCAUUACUUUGAGCUACAGGAAAGGGAAAUUACAGCUAGAUGAAGUAGCAUAUGGGAGUAGCACUCACCUCUCCCUGUGAGGUUGCAUCGAGCUCUAAACUUCAAGUGAGUCUUCACGAGCUUGUGCUGUAUCUUGGGGUACUAGCAGAUCGCCUCUGCACGCGAUGCUGUUCAGCGGGGAACAACGGCAUGGAGCAGCUGCCACAACUUAUUUGGCGUGUCGGACGCAAGCGGUGCUACCUGCAAUAGCUCUCGCCUUGCCGACGGCGAUGGCCUUAGACGGCAGACCGCAUCUCACCUUGUGUGAGUCGCCUCUGAGCUCGAACUGAGGGGAACAUAGGCAUGGGAGCAGCUGCCACAACUUAGGCCCGGGCUUGGACGCACCGGAUGCGGGCCGUGCUACCCGCAAGGGAUCCCUACUUGCCGCCAGUGACGGCGAUGGCCCCGGACGGCGGACUGGCAUCUCACCGUCUCACUUUGUGGGAAACGCCUCAUUGAGGUCGAACUGAGGC
rnacentral:lncRNA from 1 species